rnacentral:rRNA from 1 species
CCUACGGGAGGCAGCAGUGGGGAAUAUUGGACAAUGGGCGAAAGCCUGAUCCAGCCAUGCCGCGUGUGUGAAGAAGGCCUUCGGGUUGUAAAGCACUUUCAGUGGGGAAGAAAGCCUUGGGGCUAAUACCCUCGAGGAAGGACAUCACCCACAGAAGAAGCACCGGCUAACCCCGUGCCAGCAGCCGCGGUAAUACGGAGGGUGCGAGCGUUAAUCGGAAUUACUGGGCGUAAAGCGCGCGUAGGCGGUCUGAUAAGCCGGUUGUGAAAGCCCCGGGCUCAACCUGGGAACGGCAUCCGGAACGGUCAGGCUAGAGUGCAGAAGAGGAAGGUAGAAUUCCCGGUGUAGCGGUGAAAUGCGUAGAGAUCGGGAGGAAUACCAGUGGCGAAGGCGGCCUUCUGGACUGACACUGACGCUGAGGUGCGAAAGCGUGGGUAGCAAACAGGAUUAGAUACCCUGGUAGUC